CAUCCCGCCCUCCCGCCUCACCUACUCCCCAGCACGUUAUAAUGUGAAUCAUUCUCUAAAGACGGCCUUUCAAUUCUCCAUUUCCCAUCUUUACUCAUACCCCCAUCCUCACACCCACUUCCUUCAAGGCUCAGUUCAAAUCCCGCCUCCCCCACAAAAGCCUUCCCCAAUUUCCCCUCUUUUCUCCGUGUGACUCUGUUUCUCUGUUGUCAUUCCGCAUGCGUUGUCUGUCUCCAUAGGUUUGGAACCUUGCGUUGUUCUCCCUGGUGGCCCAGGACAGGGCCCUGCAUAAAGCAGGUGCUCAGUGAGUAUUCACUGAAUGAAACUGACAGCUGACCAGAUCUUACCUGCAUUGUCGCCAGCUAUAUGGGCAUAGGCUUAGAGGUUCUUCGUCACAAGUUGCCAAAAUGAAACAGAACUGUGAAAAGAAAAUGGAGAUGCUUCUUCAGGAGGUGCCCGUGAUGUGAUUUACUUGAUGAUUAUGGCCUGCAGGGUAUUGAGAUGGGAUUAUGUAACUUAAAUAAACUGGAUAUGAGUAGAGAUCUGAAAGAUUUUUCAAAAACAUUCAGCUUUACUUUUUUUUUUCUCCUAAGGAACAAGUUGUUCACUCAUAGAGCUGAAAAGGAUAAAUGAAGUGUUCAGUUCACAGAAGCAAAAUAUGAGUAGUUCAUAUAUCUUUUGUAAAUGUUCUAUGUAUCACUGUAAACUAGACAUCUUCCACAUGCCCCUAUGUUUUUCCAUUUUGAAAUCAAUUUCUAGUUCAAACUUGUCAAUAGACAAUGAAUAUUUGCAAAGUUAUAGUUUCACUGAAUUAGGAUGUAACCUGUAGCUCACAAUGAAAAUGCCAUUAGCUUGAGUUUAAAAUUUAUGUUGCUAUUUUUUUCUUUUGUCAAUAUUUUCCUUCUGUGGGACUUAUUGCACAAGGGUCGGAUAUCACAACUGAGGGAAACUGCAGAACAAUGGUUCUUCCAAUCAUUCAGACCCAUUUAAGCCAUAGUCUUUGUUGGCUUUGCCAAAUGACUGAAUGCUUGGGUCUAUUAGCACUGUCAAAUAGUGUUGAGUACAUACUUGUGGCAUAAGCAAGUUAAUAUUUAUAGGGAGCACUUUUGCAUGUCUUUUAAGUCACAUACUAAUUUUGGAAAGUCUCUAUGCUUUAUAUUUUGCCCUGAAAACAGAUAUUCUAGUUUAAAAAUGUUAAUUUAGUGAUUAGAAACCGCUGUAUAUAUUAUUACAUAUAUUGUCUAACAAUUGAAGAUAAUUAUGUUUAUUAAUUGCAAAUAACAGGACACAUAAAUAAUAAACUUUAAGAUCUCAAAUACAAUGGCUAAAUAUUGCUGAUUCCUUUUUGCCUUCUUUGACUUAUUUUUUUCCAUGUGUUCUCUUCCUUUAUAGAAGUGUAUUUUUUAGCUAUGUGAUGUAGA
rnacentral:lncRNA from 10 species